rnacentral:rRNA from 1 species
AUUGAACGCUGGCGGCAGGCUUAACACAUGCAAGUCGAGCGAGCGGCGGACGGGUGAGUAAUGUCUGGGAAACUGCCUGAUGGAGGGGGAUAACUACUGGAAACGGUAGCUAAUACCGCAUACCAUCAGAUGUGCCCAGAUGGGAUUAGCUAGUAGGUGGGGUAAUGGCUCACCUAGGCGACGAUCCCUAGCUGGUCUGAGAGGAUGACCAGCAACAUUGGAAUUGAGACACGGUCCAUCCGCCUACUGGAGGCAGCAGUGGGGAAUAUUGCACAAUGGGCUCAAGCCUGAUGCAGCCAUGCCGCGUGUGUGAAGAAGGCUUUCGGGUUGUAAAGCACGUUCAUCGAGGAGGCGUGACGCGCAGAAGAAGCACCGGCUAACUCCGUGCCAGCAGCCGCGGUAAUAC